UACCUACACAGAUAUUCCACAAGAACACCGUGAUCUUUGGGCUGGAGAUUUCCCGCUGAACCCGGACCUUCACCUCCCAGCUGAGAACAGGUUUAUAGCCACGGAUUUCACCCUCAAAACAUCAGACUGUCCUGACACGGAUUUCCCAGUCAAAAUAAUUGACAACGAGAGAGGCCGUCUCUGGUUCAGAAAGGACAACAAGUUCAAGAUACCCAAAGCUUAUGCACGCUUCCAGCUGCUGGCACCAUUUAUACAGGAAUCUCCUAAAAA